CCCCUAGACGUUCUGGGCUGCACGCGCGCUACAAUAAUACGCACAGCGAGUAUCACCGAGCUCGAAAGGGCAAGGUAAACAAUAGAAAAGGUACUGUAAUGGUUAUAGAUCCUUGUAAUUAUUGAUCUUCAACGAGGAAUUCCUAGUAAGUAUGUGUCAUCAUCACGCACUGAUUACGUCCCUGCCCUUUGUACACACCGCCCGUCGCUCCUACCGAUUGGGUGAUCCGGUGAAUAACUCGGACUGCAGCUAUUCGGGAGACCGUUAGCUUGUGGAAAGUUUAGUAAAUCUUAUCACUUAGAGGAAGGAGAAGUCGUAACA
rnacentral:rRNA from 1 species